CCGCCAGAGAACUACUAGUGAAAACUUAAAACUCAAAGGACUUGGCGGUGUCCCAUUUCGACCUAGAGGAGCCUGUCCUAUAAUCGAUGCCCCCCGUUCCACCCAACCUUUACUUGCACAUUCAGCCUAUAUACCGCCGUCGACAGUCUACCCCAUGAGGGCUCAUUAGUAGACACAAUAGCAAUAACUCGCUAACACGUCAGGUCAAGGUGUAGCAAAUGUUAAGGUAGUGAUUGGCUACAUUUUUUAUUUUAAAACAAACGAAAUGCAACAUGAAACACUUGCACGAAGGUGAAUUUAGCAGUAAAAU
rnacentral:rRNA from 1 species